AUAGGGGAGCCGGAGGGAAACCGAGUCUUAAUUGGGCGUUAAGUUGCAGGGUAUAGACCCGAAACCCGGUGAUCUAGCCAUGGGCAGGUUGAAGGUUGGGUAACACUAACUGGAGGACCGAACCGACUAAUGUUGAAAAAUUAGCGGAUGACCUGUGGCUGGGGGUGAAAGGCCAAUCAAACCGGGAGAUAGCUGGUUCUCCCCGAAAGCUAUUUAGGUAGCGCCUCGUGAAUUCAUCUCCGGGGGUAGAGCACUGUUUCGGCUAGGGGGCCAUCCCGGCUUACCAACCCGAUGCAAACUGCGAAUACCGGAGAAUGUUAUCACGGGAGACACACGGCGGGUGCUAACGUCCGUCGUGAAGAGGGAAACAACCCAGACCGCCAGCUAAGGUCCCAAAGUCAUGGUUAAGUGGGAAACGAUGUGGGAAGGCCCAGACAGCCAGGAUGUUGGCUUAGAAGCAGCCAUCAUUUAAAGAAAGCGUAAUAGCUCACUGGUCGAGUCGGCCUGCGCGGAAGAUGUAACGGGGCUAAACCAUGCACCGAAGCUGCGGCAGCGACACUGUGUGUUGUUGGGUAGGGGAGCGUUCUGUAAGCCUGCGAAGGUGGCCUGUGAGGGUUGCUGGAGGUAUCAGAAGUGCGAAUGCUGACAUAAGUAACGAUAAAGCGGGUGAAAAGCCCGCUCGCCGGAAGACCAAGGGUUCCUGUCCAACGUUAAUCGGGGCAGGGUGAGUCGACCCCUAAGGCGAGGCCGAAAGGCGUAGUCGAUGGGAAACGGGUUAAUAUUCCCGUACUUGGUGUUACUGCGAAGGGGGGACGGAGAAGGCUAUGUUGGCCGGGCGACGGUUGUCCCGGUUUAAGCGUGUAGGUGUGUGUUCCAGGUAAAUCCGGUUCACUUUAACACUGAGGCGUGACGACGAGGCACUACGGUGCUGAAGCAACAAAUGCCCUGCUUCCAGGAAAAGCCUCUAAGCAUCAGGUAACAUCAAAUCGUACCCCAAACCGACACAGGUGGUCAGGUAGAGAAUACCAAGGCGCUUGAGAGAACUCGGGUGAAGGAACUAGGCAAAAUGGUGCCGUAACUUCGGGAGAAGGCACGCUGACACGUAGGUGAAGUGAUUUACUCAUGGAGCUGAAGUCAGUCGAAGAUACCAGCUGGCUGCAACUGUUUAUUAAAAACACAGCACUGUGCAAACACGAAAGUGGACGUAUACGGUGUGACGCCUGCCCGGUGCCGGAAGGUUAAUUGAUGGGGUCAGCGCAAGCGAAGCUCCUGAUCGAAGCCCCGGUAAACGGCGGCCGUAACUAUAACGGUCCUAAGGUAGCGAAAUUCCUUGUCGGGUAAGUUCCGACCUGCACGAAUGGCGUAAUGAUGGCCAGGCUGUCUCCACCCGAGACUCAGUGAAAUUGAACUCGCUGUGAAGAUGCAGUGUACCCGCGGCAAGACGGAAAGACCCCGUGAACCUUUACUAUAGCUUGACACUGAACAUUGAGCCUUGAUGUGUAGGAUAGGUGGGAGGCUUUGAAGUGUGGACGCCAGUCUGCAUGGAGCCGACCUUGAAAUACCACCCUUUAAUGUUUGAUGUUCUAACGUGGACCCGUUACCCGGGUUGCGGACAGUGUCUGGUGGGUAGUUUGACUGGGGCGGUCUCCUCCUAAAGAGUAACGGAGGAGCACGAAGGUUGGCUAAUCCUGGUCGGACAUCAGGAGGUUAGUGCAAUGGCAUAAGCCAGCUUGACUGCGAGCGUGACGGCGCGAGCAGGUGCGAAAGCAGGUCAUAGUGAUCCGGUGGUUCUGAAUGGAAGGGCCAUCGCUCAACGGAUAAAAGGUACUCCGGGGAUAACAGGCUGAUACCGCCCAAGAGUUCAUAUCGACGGCGGUGUUUGGCACCUCGAUGUCGGCUCAUCACAUCCUGGGGCUGAAGUAGGUCCCAAGGGUAUGGCUGUUCGCCAUUUAAAGUGGUACGCGAGCUGGGUUUAGAACGUCGUGAGACAGUUCGGUCCCUAUCUGCCGUGGGCGCUGGAGAACUGAGGGGGGCUGCUCCUAGUACGAGAGGACCGGAGUGGACGCAUCACUGGUGUUCGGGUUGUCAUGCCAAUGGCACUGCCCGGUAGCUAAAUGCGGAAGAGAUAAGUGCUGAAAGCAUCUAAGCACGAAACUUGCCCCGAG
rnacentral:rRNA from 1 species